UGGGGAAUUUUCCGCAAUGGGCGAAAGCCUGACGGAGUGACGCCGCGUGUGGGACGAAGGCCUUCGGGUCGUAAACCACUGUCAGUGGGAAAGAUGGGUGUCGGGGCUAAUACCUCCGGCAUCUGACGGUACCUGCAGAGGAAGCCCCGGCCAACUCUGUGCCAGCAGCCGCGGUAAGACAGAGGGGGCAAGCGUUGCUCGGAAUUACUGGGCGUAAAGGGCGCGUAGGCGGGAUGGCAAGUCGGUCGUGAAAUCCCUCGGCUCAACCGAGGAACGUCGAUCGAUACUGCUGUUCUUGAGGAUUGCAGAGGAGACUGGAAUUCCCGGUGUAGCGGUGAAAUGUGUAGAGAUCGGGAGGAACACCGGUGGCGAAGGCGGGUCUCUGGGCAAUUCCUGACGCUGAGGCGCGAAAGCGUGGGGAGCAAACG
rnacentral:rRNA from 1 species